CGAUAGCAUGGCCGAGUCCGUAGGCAGUAAACUGUAGAUUUACUAACGAGUUUUACUCUGCUAUC
rnacentral:tRNA from 1 species